UUGAACGCUGGCGGAAUGCUUUACACAUGCAAGUCGAGCGGCAGCGCGGGGCAACCUGGCGGCGAGCGGCGAACGGGUGAGUAAUGCAUCGGAACAUGUCCAUGUCGUGGGGGAUAGCCCGGCGAAAGCCGGAUUAAUACCGCAUACGCCCGAGAGGGGAAAGUGGGGGACCGCAAGGCCUCACGCGAUUGGGUUGGCCGAUGUCCGAUUAGCUUGUUGGUGAGGUAAAGGCUUACCAAGGCGAUGAUCGGUAGCUGGUCUGAGAGGAUGAUCAGCCACACUGGGACUGAGACACGGCCCAGACUCCUACGGGAGGCAGCAGUGGGGAAUUUUGGACAAUGGGGGCAACCCUGAUCCAGCCAUUCCGCGUGAGUGAAGAAGGCCUUCGGGUUGUAAACCGCUUUCAGCCGGAAAGAAAUCGUCAAGGCUAAUAUCCUUGAUGGAUGACGGUACCGGAAGAAGAAGCACCGGCUAACUGCGU
rnacentral:rRNA from 1 species